AGAUUGAUCAUGAGAUUUGUGGUUUAAAAAGACCAAAGUGUCUAAUGCUUGGAGUUGAAAAGAAGAGAAAAGAGUAUGCUAAAAAGGGUAGAAAUAAGAAUUUAUAUCUAAGGCGGGUAGAACAACAAGAGCUAAGCGUUGUAUACAUAAAUUGUUCUUGGUCUUAGAUGGAUUUCAUAAUUGUCUAGCAUUCCUUUUCUUGAGAGAAAGCCACCAAAGUAUGAAUCUCUUGAAACCACCUCCAAAACACAUUCACCAAAACCGAUUGAGAAUGAUUUACUUUCCAUUUGCGAGAACGCACUUGAAAAUCUUAAUGAAUGUUAAAGAGUUGGAUGAUAUGAAUGCUUUAAGAGGCUAAGAAUUAGACUCUAAAGUAAAAGAUUUGAGUAGCGAUGAGUAUGGAGAAGUUCGUUAGAGUAUAUGUGAUUCAUGCAUUAUCCUACUUUUAUCUAAGGACAUUGGAUUGAAAUGUUUAUGUGCAUUCUUUUGGAAAUUAGUACCCACCUUCAAACCUCUUCUCUUGGCCUUUCUUUUGAUUGUUUGCUUGAGGACAAGCAAAAGGCAAGUCCGGGGGAAUUGAUAUACUCUAUAUUUACCGCUUUAUCAUGGUUGUUAAGAUCCAUUUAUUGUGUUUCAUUAGUAUUUUCAUUGUGUUUUGUUGCAUUUAGUGUCCAAGUGAGUCUUCUUCCAUUUUAGAAGUCCUAUAGUGUCUUUGUUUGUCUUUUGUUGUGUUUUGUGUGUCUUUUGAGCAAUUUCAGGUUAAAAUAAUGGACGACACACAUUUGGAUGCAAAGAAGAGAAUUGAUGAUUCAGAACCAGUCCAAAGUCCCUCAAAGAUCGACUCAGAUGGAAGUCUUUCAUUGCGAUUUAGCUUCAGAGCUCUUCAUACAAGUUAUAGGAAAUUGAGUUACCUUUCUAACGGAGGUGAUUUCAAGCGAAUCAGAGCUUCGAUGCAAGAAUUAUGGUGGUUUUAAUGGAGAUAUAUCACUCUGGCGCGGAAAAGAACAAAGGAGGAGCCACUGAACAUUUCAAUCGACCUGUUGGUCGAUUUAAUGGUCGAUUGGGACGAUAACAGGCCGCAGACGAGAAGCAAUCGAGGGAGCAAUCGACCGAUGCAUCUAUAGAAGCCUUUGCAAAUUUUUGGGUUUGACCCGGUUUAUCUCGUGUCAACCCGGUUCGAUUCUAUUUUGUAUUUAAGCAAUUUUUAGACAUUUUGUAACCUAAGUUUUCUUCUCUAGAGUUGGAUUUAGAUCCAAACUCUCUUCUUGAUAUUUUGGAUUGAUCUUCAACAAUUCAUGCCACUUUAGUGAAGGAUUCUUCAUCUUUAUCUUGUAUCUUUAUGUUUAUGCAUUUCCUUUUUAUC
rnacentral:lncRNA from 1 species